rnacentral:rRNA from 1 species
AGCUCCAAUAGCGUAUAUUAAAGUUGUUGCAGUUAAAAAGCUCGUAGUUGAAUUUUGGGCCUGGCUGGCCGGUCUGCCUUCACGGCGAGUACUGCUUUGGCUGGGUCUUUCCUUCUGGGGAGCCGGCAUUCCCUUCACUGGGUGUGUCGGGGAACCAGGACUUUUACUUUGAAAAAAUUAGAGUGCUCAAAGCAGGCUUUUUGCUCGAAUACAUUAGCAUGGAAUAAUGAAAUAGGACGUGUGGUUCUAUUU